AGGAAUAUUGGUCAAUGGGCGCGAGCCUGAACCAGCCAAGUAGCGUGAAGGAUGAAGGUCCUAUGGAUUGUAAACUUCUUUUAUACGGGAAUAAAGUGGUCCACGUGUGGACUUUUGCAUGUACCGUAUGAAUAAGCAUCGGCUAACUCCGUGCCGGCAGCCGCGGUAAUACGGAGGAUGCGAGCGUUAUCCGGAUUUAUUGGGUUUAAAGGGAGCGCAGACGGGGGAUUAAGUCAGUUGUGAAAGUUUGCGGCUCAACCGUAAAAUUGCAGUUGAUACUGGUUCCCUUGAGUGCAGUUGAGGCAGGCGGAAUUCGUGGUGUAGCGGUGAAAUGCAUAGAUAUCACGAAGAACCCCGAUUGCGAAGGCAGCCUGCUAAGCUGUAACUGACGUUGAGGCUCGAAAGUGUGGGUAUCAAACAGGAUUAGAUACCCUGGUAGUCCACACGGUAAACGAUGGAUACUCGCUGUUGGCGAUAUACUGUCAGCGGCCAAGCGAAAGCAUUAAGUAUCCCACCUGGGGAGUACGCCGGCAACGGUGAAACUCAAAGGAAUUGACGGGGGCCCGCACAAGCGGAGGAACAUGUGGUUUAAUUCGAUGAUACGCGAGGAACCUUACCCGGGCUUAAAUUGCAGGAGAACGAUCCAGAGAUGGUGAGGCCCUUCGGGGCUCCUGUGAAGGUGCUGCAUGGUUGUCGUCAGCUCGUGCCGUGAGGUGUCGGCUCAAGUGCCAUAACGAGCGCAACCCUCGUGGCCAGUUACUAGCAGGUAACGCUGAGGACUCUGGCCAGACUGCCAUCGCAAGAUGCGAGGAAGGUGGGGAUGACGUCAAAUCAGCACGGCCCUUACGUCCGGGGCUACACACGUGUUACAAUGGGAGGUACAGAAGGCAGCUACCCGGCGACGGGAUGCCAAUCUCCAAAGCCUCUCUCAGUUCGGACUGGAGUCUGCAACCCGACUCCACGAAGCUGGAUUCGCUAGUAAUCGCGCAUCAGCCACGGCGCGGUGAAUACGUUCCCG
rnacentral:rRNA from 1 species